AUGGGAACGCGAAGAACCUUACCUACUCUUGACAUCCAGAGAACUUUCCAGAGAUGGACUGGUGCCUUCGGGAACUCUGAGACAGGUGCUGCAUGGCUGUCGUCAGCUCGUGUUGUGAAAUGUUGGGUUAAGUCCCGCAACGAGCGCAACCCUUAUCCUUUGUUGCCAGCGGUUAGGCCGGGAACUCAAAGGAGACUGCCAGUGAUAAACUGGAGGAAGGUGGGGAUGACGUCAAGUCACCAUGGCCCUUACGAGUAGGGCUACACACGUGCUACAAUGGCGCAUACAAAGAGAAGCGACCUCGCGAGAGCAAGCGGACCUCAUAAAGUGCGUCGUAGUCCGGAUUGGAGUCUGCAACUCGACUCCAUGAAGUCGGAAUCGCUAGUAAUCGUAGAUCAGAAUGCUACGGUGAAUACGUU
rnacentral:rRNA from 1 species